CCUACGGGAGGCAGCAGUGAGGAAUAUUGGUCAAUGGGCGGGAGCCUGAACCAGCCAAGUCGCGUGAGGGAAGACGGUCCUAUGGAUUGUAAACCUCUUUAGGCGGGGAGCAAUGCCGGGCACGCGUGCCCGGAGGGAGAGUACCCGCAGAAUAAGCAUCGGCUAACUCCGUGCCAGCAGCCGCGGUAAUACGGAGGAUGCGAGCGUUAUCCGGAUUUAUGGGGUUUAAAGGGUGCGUAGGCGGAUUUUUAAGUCAGCGGUAAAAUGUCCGGGUCCAACCCGGGCCGGCCGUUGAAACUGGGGAUCUUGAGUGGGCGAGAAGUAUGCGGAAUGCGUGGUGUAGCGGUGAAAUGCAUAGAGAUCACGAAGAACUCCGAUUGCGAAGGCAGCAUACCGGCGCCCGACUGACGCUGAGGCACGAAAGCGUGGGGAUCGAACAGGAUUAGAUACCCUAGUAGUC
rnacentral:rRNA from 1 species